rnacentral:lncRNA from 1 species
CCCCGUGUGCGUUCAUAUUAAUCCCCCUUUCAACACCGCACAUGGCAAGACAAGCAAGUAUCAAGUAUGCGGCCAACCAAGUUUAAGUGUUGCAUGGGGCACUGCUUCCAAACUCUUUGCGGCACUUCCUUCUUUGCCAGAUAUACUGUAUCCUUCUAUGCAUAUCACACAUUACUAAAGACUACAGACACGUCAAGGUGUCAGUAUGUAGAGACCCGCAAACAGUUCUCUGCCACUCGGCAGAGGACGCCCUCGCCCUGCUAUGUUUGCUUUUAAGGCCCAGUCUCCACUAGUAACGCUAUGUGGCGCACAGGUGCGCCUUGCAGCGGCCAUAACGCUGGGUUGUUGCAGGGGUGGUGACGUCGUUGACCGAGCGCAAUAUUUAUCGCCCACCUUCAAUUCGUUCAGGUUCAGGCUCAACAAAAGCAUUUCAAAAGGCUACAGAGCCAUCACGCGUGGCGCAGGUGAGGCGGGGGUACCAUCCGCGCGACUUGGUUGCUAGCUCCCGAGGCUGUCAGCUGAGAGCAUGCGCAUGCUAAGGUGUCUGUAUAAUGGCACCGUACAAGCCUGUCAUCAGUUCAUGCUCAGUUCUCAGUCCUGGUACCCUCCCGCCCUCCCUCAGGACUCCGGCCACACGAAGGGCCACCCGUGCGGACCACCCCUGGGUGGGCUAGACGUGGCGCACUCACACGUUAACCCCAACAGGCAAGUCUAUGUCCAGAUAUUAUUUCGCAAUUGCUGAAGUAAGCACUGCAUGAGUAGCGUGUCUGCAGCUGAACAUGGGGGGAAAGGUACCUUGCGUCUUACCCUCUGAUAUGCCUGGUUUUGUGGUUUGGUUCCUGACCGAAUCGUCCUGAACACUAUGCAGGCUUACGAAGGGCAGCACGGAUGUGGCUAGCUGUGGACUGGAGCGCUGGCACCGGCAGCAUGCGGAGUCUGCGGUGGCACUGUGCAGCAGGUCGGACGUUGUGGUUGAGGUCGUUGUGUGUUUGGCAAGACUUAGUAUGGGCACACCUCUGCCGCUUAUGCCUUGGCGGGUGGCGUUUGGUUGUUCCGCGGAAGUGGCUACAUGCACAUCUGUGGCUAGCUACGGACUGGAGUGCCGGCACCGGCAGCAUGCAGAGUCUGCGGUAGCACUGUGCAGCAGGUCGGACGUUGUGGUUGUCGUUGUGUGUUUGGCAAGACUUUAGUAUGGGCACACCUCUGCCGCUUAUGCCUUGGCGGGUGGCAUUUGGUUGUUACCCGGAAGCGGCUACAUACGCAUCUGUAUUCAUGUUACGGUAGGGCACGUUCGGUGAGCGAGGAGGUCGAUGGGUGACAGGGCAUGUGGAGCGGGCAGACUUCCUUUCCAGGGUGUGCGAUGGCGGACUAAAAGCCUAAGGAGAGGCUGGUGGAUGGAGGCGGACUCACGCACGCCUUCAGAGAAACAGGCCGAAUCCUCGUUUACACUGGACGUGCGGCACGUGCCGUUGCAUGAACUGUAACACAAAUGAGCAGUUGAGGGAAUUGGCUUCGUGUGCCCCACGUGUGCGUGC